GUCCUCAUAGCUCAGCUGGAUAGAGCACAGGAUUCCUAAUCCUGAGGCCGCAGGUUCGACUCCUGCUGGGGACACCA
rnacentral:tRNA from 1 species